AGCAUUAACACCAAAUCAUCUUAUAAUUUGUAGAUUCAAGGGAUUUGACUCAAGAGCAAUUGAAGGGAUUUUCUCGAGGAUUCUUUGAUAGGUAAGUCCCUAGUUUAUUUAUAGAAAGUAGGUGGGAUAAUUAGGUUCCUAUAGCCUAUUGAAAUACAUCAUAAAUAUUGGGGGUGAUUCUCCUAUUCAAAAUGAACAUUAAUACUACCCUAAAACCCUAGUUUUCCAUAAAGGGUCAGAAUCCAUUAAAAUAAACCAAAGUUCUAAACUUUAUCAUCGAAAUUUAAUAUAGAUUCAAUGUUAGCACUAUCGAACAAAUUUAGACCAAUUAUUAGCGAGGAUCAAGGAAUCGAUCCUUCAUGACCUGACAACAUAUGUAUAUGAAUUUUCUUCACCCUAUGAAUUAGAUUUUUUGUACUUAACUUCUAAAUUUACAUUAUUUGAAGAAGUUAAACUAUAUGAAUGGUCCAUUGAUAUGAAACAUGAUUAUAUACUUCCUAACAUGAUUUCUGAACUAUUUUUAGGACCAUGGAAUACCCAGAUUUGAAUAUUAAAGUUAUUCAACUAUUCUGUCAUGAAUUUUACUAUUUGUGUUUGUUCUUAGAUGAGUCGGUAUUUUACCAACUUAUUGGACUCAAAUUAAAGUAUUAUUGCUAUGUUGUAAUGCUCAUUGAAGGGGUUUGAGGUCCUAGUUCUCUUAUAUGCAGACAUUUAUUAGAUAAGCCAAGGUUGACGGAUUUGGAGCUUAAAAUCAUUGAAGCACACCUGUGAAGGAAAAGGCAUUGUGCAAGAGCUAAUUGGCGUCUUGCUGGAUAAAAACCAGCUUGACUAGAGAAAGACUGCCUAAGCAUCGACAAAUCAUUGUCAUAGUAUAACUCCUAAUCGAUAUUCUGUCGAUUCCAAUGCAGGUGUCCCUAAUGAAAUUAAGGGCUAAAGCGGUGAUGUGAAUGACACUGAAUAAUCUUGGAAUGGUGUUCCGCCUGUCCAGCGCAAGUUGAAGAGCAGAAGCUAAAGGGAAAAUAUACUUGGAGAAUAAAUUGCUUCAUUUGGAAGGUUUCA
rnacentral:lncRNA from 1 species